rnacentral:ncRNA from 1 species
ACCACCCUUGUCUUGGGGUGAGUGGCUGCUCAAUGAGCGAGUAGUGAGAGUAGCACUGCUGUUCCCACAGUAGGAAGGUGCAGUUUUUGGAACC